UCUGAAGUAACAUGUAGGUAUGUGUUUUAUUCUGCUAAUGUACAAUCUGUUAUGUUCUGAAGUAAUUUGUUGUUGUGUGUUUUAUAUUUCUUAUGUACAAUUUGUUCUGUUCUGAAUUAACUUGUGUGUUUUAUACUGCUGGUGUACAAUCUGUUAUGUUCUGAAGUAAUUUGUAGUUGUGUGUUUUAUAUUUCUUAUGUACAAUUUGUUCUGUUCUGAAGUAACUUGUGUGUUUUAUACUGCUGGUGUACAAUCUGUUAUGUUCUGAAGUAAUUUGUAGUUGUGUGUUUUAUACUGUUAAUAAAUACAAUCUGUUAUGUUCUCAAGUAGCUUGUAGCGGUGUGUUUUAUACUGCUGAUUGUGUACAAUCUGUUAUGUUCUGAUUUUAUACUGCUGAUGUACAAUCUGUUAUGUUCUCAAGUAACCUGUGAUUGGGUAAUUUAUACUGCUGAUGUACAAUCUGUUCUGUUCUGAAGUAACCUGUGAUUGGGUGUUUUAUACUGCUGGCAUACAAUCUGUUAUGUUCUGAAGUAACUUGUAGUUGUGUGUUUUAUACUGCUAAUGUACAAUCUGUUAUGUUCUAGAGUAACUUGUAGUUGUGUGUUUUAUACUGCUUAUGUACAAUAUGUUAUGUUCUGAAGUAACUUGAGUUGUGUGUGUUUUUACUGCUUAUGUACAAUUUGUUCAUGUUCUGAAGUAACUUGUAGUUGUGUGUUUUUUUUACUGCUUAUGUACAAUUUGUUCUGUUCUGAAGUAACUUGUAGUUGUGUGUUUUAUACUGCUGGUGUACAAUUUGUUCUGUUCUGAAGUAAUUUGUAGAACUUUGUUUGUUUUAUUCUGCUUAUGUACAAUCUGUUAUGUUCUGAAGCAACUUGUUUUUUUAUUUUUUAUACUUCUGUUAUUAUAGUUCUAAAGUAAAUUGUUGUCGUGUGUUUAUGUACAAUAUUCAACAUUUUGAAGUUACUUGUAGUUUUCACUGUUUCACUGUGCUUUAAUUUUAAGUAACAUGUAGUUUUGUGUCUUUUUUUGUUCAUGUACCAUAAAAGGCUGUAUCUUCAAAUGACUUUUCUAUGAAUUAUUAAAAUAAGGUAGUUUUGAAUGUGACUAUUUUACUUACAAAUCUUGAUAAUCAAUGUCUGCACCAUUCUGUAGGCUUAAUUUUAAGGCUUCUAUAUCUCCAUCCCUAGCAGCUGUAGUAAGUUUCUGUAAGUAUAACAUAGAAAUUACAUUUAAUCUUGAUAAUCAAUGUCUGCACCAUUCUGUAGACAUAAUUUUAAGGCUUCUAUAUCUCUAUUUCCAGCAGCUGUAGUAAGUUUCUGUAAGUAAACCAUAAUAAAAAUAUAUUGUAAUGAAUGUCCUUACUGUUAAAUUAGGUAAUAACUAUGUAUUCUUCUGUUUAGCAAUGACUACAUAAAUCAGUAGUAUCCUUCCUUCAAAUAACAGACAGAGAGGAAUUCUUUUAAUAGCAUAAAAUUGUUGGGAUUUAUGCAUUUUAUAUUAUCAAGAAAAACACCAAGAGUGCACACACUGAAAUGUCUCGCCUUCUUUACUAAUCAUUGAUAUUAUGUUGAUAGUCCUAAAUAAAAAGC
rnacentral:lncRNA from 1 species